CUCAGGAUGAACGCUAGCGGCAGGCCUAAUACAUGCAAGUCGGACGGGAUCCAUCGGAGAGCUUGCUCGAAGAUGGUGAGAGUGGCGCACGGGUGCGUAACGCGUGAGCAACCUACCUCUAUCAGGGGGAUAGCCUCUCGAAAGAGAGAUUAACACCGCAUAACAUCAACAGUUCGCAUGUUCGGUUGAUUAAAUAUUUAUAGGAUAGAGAUGGGCUCGCGUGACAUUAGCUAGUUGGUAGGGUAACGGCCUACCAAGGCGACGAUGUCUAGGGGCUCUGAGAGGAGAAUCCCCCACACUGGUACUGAGACACGGACCAGACUCCUACGGGAGGCAGCAGUAAGGAAUAUUGGUCAAUGGGCGGAAGCCUGAACCAGCCAUGCCGCGUGCAGGAUGACUGCCCUAUGGGUUGUAAACUGCUUUUGUCCAGGAAUAAACCUAGAAUACGUGUA
rnacentral:rRNA from 1 species